rnacentral:tRNA from 2 species
GGGCGGUUAGCUCAGUUGGAUAGAGCGCAGGCCUCCGAAGCCUGAGGUCGUACGUUCGAAUCGUAUACCGCCCGCCA